rnacentral:lncRNA from 1 species
GAAUAAGUUUGCGGAAUUGGCUAGGUUUGUGCCAACCUAUGUAGAGACCGAUAGGCAGAAAGCAAAAAGGUUCCAACAAGGUCUGAAGCCUUGGAUUAGGAGCAAGUUAGCUAUUUUGCAAUUGGAGACUUAUGCGGCAGUGGUUGAGAAGGCAAUGAUUGCGGAGGCUGAAAAUGAGUUGUUUCAGAAGUCUAAAGAGGAUAAGAAGAGAAAGCCAGACAAUAGAGAAAGGCCAUCCCAUCAAGGGAGGUUCCAGAAGAAAGGGAAAUUUCAAGCAGGAAGGAGUUCCAAUUUUAAGAAGCAGACUAUAGGCAGUAGUGGACAAAGUGGUCGUUUUAUUCUGGGAAAUCAGGCCAAUCAGCAGAGGUCUUCUAUACCAGAAUGCCAGAUAUGUGGCAAGAGACAUGGAGGAGUGUGUAAUAAGCCGAACAUAGUGUGCUUUAAGUGCAACCAGAAAGGACAUUAUUCUAGGGAAUGCCAGAACCAAUCAGCAAUAAGAGAUCAGGCGAAUAAGAGCUCAACAAGUAAAGCUCCAGCUAUAGGAUAUGCAUGUUUCAAAUGCGGAAAGCAGGGACAUAUGGCUAGAGAUUGCAAAACAUCAGCUCCAGUUAGUAAUGCACUUAGAAUCAUGGGAACUGUUCCAGAAGUGAAUGAGCCUCCUAGGGCGAGAGUCUUUGAUAUGUCAGUGAAGGAUGCUAUUCAGGAUGCCGAUGUCGUGGCAGGUACGCUUAACGUAAACUCUUUAAAUGCCAAGGUGUUAAUUGAUUCAGGAGCCACUAGAUCAUUUAUUUCUCAAGCUUUUGUUGAUAAGUUGAAUUGUCCGGUUGAAUUGUUGAAUGAGGUUAUGAAUGUAGAGCUAGCUAAUCAGGAUCGUAUUUCCGUUAAUCAAGUUUGUCCUAAUUGUGAAGUUGAGAUUUUAGGAAGUAAAUUUUGCGCCGACUUGAUACCUUUCAAGUUGGGGGAAUUUGAUGUAAUCUUAGGGAUGGAUUGGUUGUCUAAACAUAGUGCGCAGAUAGAUUGUAAAAAUAAGAAAGUAAUAUUAAUGACACCAGACCACGAGGUAAUAACGUUUAGAGGACAAAAGCAAGUAAAGAAGUUUUUAACUAUGAUCCAAGCCAAGAGGAUGUUACGACAAGGAUGCGAAGCCUAUAUUGCUUAUGUAAUUGAUAAAAGUCAGGAACCGGUAAAACUUGAAAAUAUCCCUGUAGUGAAUGAAUUUCCAGACGUGUUUCCGGAUGAGUUACCAGGACUGCCUCCAGAUAGAGAGAUAGAAUUUGCAAUUGACUUAGCACCUGGAGCGGAGCCGGUAUCCAAAGCCCCGUAUAAGAUGCAACCUGUAGAGAUGAAAGAAUUGGCCAAAUGGAGUUGAACUUUUUAGAGCUGAAACAAGGAAAUAUGUCUGUGGUUGAAUAUGAGAAUAAGUUUGCGGAAUUGGCUAGGUUUGUGCCAACCUAUGUAGAGACUGAUAGGCAGAAAGCAAAAAGGUUCCAACAAGGUCUGAAGCCUUGGAUUAGGAGCAAGUUAGCUAUUUUGCAAUUGGAGACUUAUGCAGCAGUGGUUGAGAAGGCAAUGAUUGCGGAGGCUGAAAAUGAGUUGUUUCAGAAGUCUAAAGAGGAUAAGAAGAGAAAGCCAGACAAU